rnacentral:rRNA from 1 species
UACGUAGGGUGCAAGCGUUGUCCGGAAUUAUUGGGCGUAAAGAGCUCGUAGGCGGUUUGUCGCGUCUGCUGUGAAAACGCGAGGCUCAACCUCGCGCCUGCAGUGGGUACGGGCAGACUAGAGUGCGGUAGGGGAGAUUGGAAUUCCUGGUGUAGCGGUGAAAUGCGCAGAUAUCAGGAGGAACACCGGUGGCGAAGGCGGGUCUCUGGGGCCGGAUACUGACGCUGAGGAGCGAAAGCGUGGGGAGCGAACAGG